GGAUUCCCCUAGUAACUGCGAGUGAAGCGGGAAGAGCUCAAAUUUAAAAUCUGGCGUGCCUCUGGUCGUCCGAGUUGUAGUCUGGAGAAGCGUUUUCUGUGUUGGACCGUGUAUAAGUCUCUUGGAACAGGGCGUCAUAGAGGGUGAGAAUCCCGUCUUUGACACGGACUACCGACGCUUUGUGAUGCGCUCUCAAAGAGUCGAGUUGUUUGGGAAUGCAGCUCAAAAUGGGUGGUAAAUUCCAUCUAAAGCUAAAUAUAGGCGAGAGACCGAUAGCGAACAAGUACCGUGAGGGAAAGAUGAAAAGCACUUUGGAAAGAGAGUUAAACAGUACGUGAAAUUGCUGAAAGGGAAACGCUUGAAGUCAGUCAUGUCUGCCAGGACUCAGCCUUGCUUCUGCUUGGUGUACUUUCUGGUCGGAUGGGCCAGCAUCGAUUUUGACCGUUGGAGAAAGGCUUUGGGAAUGUGGCACCUUUGGGUGUGUUAUAGCCCUUUGUCGUAUGCAACGGUUGGGAUCGAGGACCGCAGCAUGCCUUUAUGGCCGGGGUUCGCCCACGUACGUGCUUAGGAUGUUGGCGUAAUGGCUUUAAGCGACCCGUCUUGAAACACGGACCAAGGAGUCUAACAUGCCUGCGAGUGUUUGGGUGGAAAACCCAUGCGCGUAAUGAAAGUGACAGCUGAGAUCCUCUCAUCAGGAGCAUCAGCGCCUGGACUCGAUCUACGGAGACGGUUCUACGGUAGAGCAUGUAUGUUGGGACUCGAAAGAUGGUGAACUAUGUCUGAAUAGGGUGAAGUAGAGGAAACUCUGGUGGAGGCUCGUAGCGAUUCUGACGUGCAAAUCGAUCGUCAAAUUUGGGUAUAGGGGCGAAA
rnacentral:rRNA from 1 species